rnacentral:tRNA from 1 species
GCAUCAAUGGUGGAACUGGUAUACACAGGGCACUUAAAAUGCCCCGCCGAAAGGAUUGUGGGUUCGAAUCCCACUUGGUGCA